rnacentral:rRNA from 1 species
AUUGAACGCUGGCGGAAUGCUUUACACAUGCAAGUCGAACGGCAGCACGGGGCAACCUGGUGGCGAGUGGCGAACGGGUGAGUAAUAUAUCGGAACGUGCCCAAUCGUGGGGGGAUAACGUAGCGAAAGUUACGCCAAUACCGCAUACGAUCUACGGAUGAAAGCGGGGGAUCGCAAGACCUCACGUCAUAGGAGCGGCCGAUGGCGGAUUAGCUAGUUGGUGAGGUAAAGGCUUACCAAGGCGACGAUCCGUAGCUGGUCUGAGAGGACGACCAGCCACACUGGGACUGAGACACGGCCCAGACUCCUACGGGAGGCAGCAGUGGGGAAUCUUGCGCAAUGGGCGAAAGCCUGACGCAGCAACGCCGCGUGCGGGAUGACGGCCUUCGUGGUUGUAAACCGCUUCAGCAGGACGAAAAUGACGGUACCUGCAGAAGAAGCCCGGCUAACUACGUGCC